GAUAUCUGGCUUGAGGCAGCCAAGCGCGUUUAAGAACGUUCUUAGAGACCUCACUUUUUGAUCCUUCGAUGUUGGCUCUUCCUAUCAUUGUGAAGCAGAAUUUACCAAGCGUUGGAUUGUUCACCCACUAAUAGGGAAUGUGAGCUGGGUUUAGACCGUCAUGAGAUAGGGUU
rnacentral:ncRNA from 1 species